CUUUAGGCCAUUUCCUUGGGUCCUGUCACUGGUCACCAGAGAGAAGAGAUCAGUGCCUGCCCCUGCUCUUCCCCUUGUGAGGAAGCUGUAGACUGUGAUAAGGUUGCCCCUCAGUCUCCUGUUCUCCAAGCUAAACAGAUCAAGUGACCCCAACUGCUCCUCAUACAGCUUCUUUUUGAUUUUCUUUUUUGUAUUGUAUGAAGUGAAAAAAGAGACUGAAGACAAAAAUUUUUCCUAAGGAUGUUCUGCCUCAAACCCCAUUUCCUUCAAGGACUGAAAGUCAAAGUGCUUCCAACUAUCCUAAGCAUCAGGGGGCCACACAAUGUACAGUCAGUGUCUUAAAAGAAGGGACCCCAGGCUUUUAGAGAACAGUUGCUUAAACAGAUUUGUGACCACAACACCUUCAGCAUUGUUUAGUAUAACUGAAUAAAUGAGCAGAUCAAGAGUUGUUGGUGUCCUAUACUCACCGCUUCUAAUCUGGGCCGCUUCUGUCUAAAAGUAGCUCUAGUUUAGACACAGUUGAUAUGGUGUCCCCUACAGAUCACAUUGUAUUGCACUGGAGGUGACAAGGUCAGAAAUCCCACUCAUGAAACUACAAGGAAGGGUAUUACUCUCUAACUAAGAGCUGGUGGCAAGAAUAUCCCAUGCCUGAAAGUCAGUAGCUGCUGGCUUAAUUCAAAGUGAACAACAUUUCAUGAGUCUUAACUGGAAAUGAUCCCCCUGUUUGCCUCCAGUUGGGGUGAGAGUGGAAGCAUAAUUUCUGCCCCAAUUUUGCCUGCAACAUGAGCUGUUUUCAUGUUUUCUCUUCACCACUAUUACAAUGGCAGUCAAAUACACUUGGUGGAAUUCUAGGCAUAUAUCAUACGCUGCUUAUCUGCUGUUUUCAGACUGGCCCAAGGCAUGGGCUAAGUAGGAGUUUGUUAGCAGUGUAAAUCUGGAGUCACUGCACUGAAGCCAAUGGGAAACCGAACUGAAGCCUUGGGUCAUGGGCUGGAAGGAAGUGCACUGAACAUCUGGGGCAGGGAGGAAUGCAUGAGUCACCCUGCAGCAUCCUCCCUCUUGGCAGAUGCUUGGUGCAAAGUAAACAUAUUCUGGAGAAUUUCAGGGCAGUCUUUCUCAGAAGAAAAGGGGCUUUUAAAGUCUAUAAGUGUGGGUGAAGGUAUAAAAUUACUGGAUAGAUUCCAUGGCUCACAGAUCAAAGCAAGUCACUUAGUAUGAUGCUACUGCAGAUGCUGGAAUUGCCUUUAAGGCUGAGAUUUGCUAGCAUGACUAAUGGUUUUGAGUCUCCUAUUUGGGACAUCAGUAAGAGCUCUGAUAUUUUGGGUGCUUUUACCUCUGUCCUUGGACAUAGUAGGGACUUAUGUAUACCAUAGAAAUAACCUAUUUUGUCUAAUGCUGGGGUGGAAGGAACAGUCCCUGGUGGGACUGACUAUACCACUCUCCCAAGCUCACAUCCGUAAAUGGCUCUCUCAAUCUAAGUCAGCCUCCUGGGUUGGCAAGUUACUGGGUGAAUCUUGCUGUUUGCUUUCUUUGCUAAGGAGCUUCAUUUCUCAUUAAGGUGUUCUCUGUUCAUGACCAUUUACAUAUGAAAACAUUUUUUCUUUAUCAAACAAUUGUUUGCGCAGCUAUAUUCCCAAGUGGGAUUAGGUCUUAGUGUGACUGCUUUCUUUCCUGAAUCAUCUGGUGUUAUUUCUGAUCCCUGCGCUGGAUGAGUGCAUGGUGAGUGCAAAUAAUAAGUGAGGAGAAAAUAUGGUCAGGCUAACUUGGCCUUUGUUUCAGUUAGAGGCAGUUGGGGAGCAGGCUCUGGAGCCAAGGCUGGGUGUGUUGGCAGGAAUAGGGAAUUUUAAUUGAUAUUUUAAACCUUCUUUCCUUUGGCCAAUUUGAGUUAGACUCUCUGAGAUGUUAAUAUAAUAUUAGGCAACUGUGCUAUUGUUGACCUGAUUCAAUUAAAAAUACAUUUUCUCUCAUUGAGAUCACAUGAAGUAGGUAAGUGUCCCACACAUCCUUCCUUCCUUCCCAUGAAGAAUGUGACUCAGUCAUUAUCUAGUUUUCUUAAACAUCUCUGUGUUAGGAAUCCACCUGGGAAUUUUAGGCAGUUAUAGCUGAAAAAUACGUGACUGUGUACAUUUGAUUAUCUUGUUUAACUAUGUUUCAGCAGAACUACGGCCUGGAGGUUUGUAAACAUGGACCCAAGAGUCACAGUGUUGUAGGUGUUAGGUAACGUAUACAAAUUACCUUGCGACCUGAAGAAUGUACUGCUGGAGCUGACUACCUGUCCAGGAUUCUGUGGCUGGAUAAGGAGCUUCUGGAGAAGCUGUGCAGUGUGGCUUUUUUCAUCUACUGGUGGAAAGUGGGUGGGUUCAAUUCCCACGAGAGGGUACUUGGAACUGGAGGAUUUUGCUGGGAAAGAUGAGCCCUUCAACGACAGGAUGGAGAGGUGAUGGCAGAGCACAGUAAUUACAGUGGGAACUUACUGAAUCCCAGAAGCAGACAGACAGAGAUUUACAUUCCAGAAACAAUGACCUGACAGUGACUAAUGGAGAAGAUGAUUGGUGGAUGAAGAAUCUGGGUUCAGAGGUGGGAGGAAAACAGCACGGUUAUUCUUCAAGGAAAUUAAGUCAGCUACCUACUCCUGCCCAGAGCAGACACCGACUCAAUCACAUCCACAGCACUGUCUCGUCCCCGUCUCGCUCUGGCAUAGCCAUGCACUCACAUGUAAGCCUUGUAGUUGCUGCCAAUUUUCUGGAUUCGGAUGUCAUAUUUGGAGUCAAUGAAUGGCUCGGUGGUGGCAUAGGUUUUUGCCAUGGCUACUAUGCUGGCCAUGUCCCGAAAGUCGUGCUGGUUCUCAACUUUGACCUUGAUUAUCAAAAUCCAGUGAAAAAGAGACAAGAACAAAAAGAACAUGAAUACUUUGUGAACAGAAGUCAUCUCUGCACCUGAAUAGCACAAUGUUAGUUAUACCUCGCAUACACACAGCUGAGGACAGAGCAGCGCUUUUGUGAUUUAAAGAGAGAAGUUCCCCAGAGCAAACCAACCCAGAGUAAAUCCAUCCCAUUCUCCUUCUUCAUGCACCAGCCCUGGUAAACCUGGCACCAGAGAGGCAGCUAGACCUCUGCCCAAAUGGCUCUUGCUAAUGCUCUUUGCUUUUAGGGUGCUCCAGAAAAGUAUUCAAUCUCUUAAGAGGCAUUACUUCAUUCAAACUUUGGAACUGCUAUUUCCCAUGUUGCGAUGGAUGAAAGUAGAGUAUUUUGGGUGGUCAGGAAGUACAAACCAAUUCCAGGAAAUCAACAUGAGAGCUGGUUGUCUGCCACCUCUAGGCUUCAGUUCCCUGGCGUUUCACAUUACCCUCCUCCAGACAUUCUUUGAGGAAUGGUGCAGGUCUCUUGACUGGACACAAGCUCUGAAGGAAAAGGACGUCUCUGGGGGAGUUUGUGACUCUUGGGGAGAUUAGUGUGAGUGUGAGGCAAUGGGCACGUGGGUAGGAGAGCUGGUUGGGUGUUAGACUUGAGUCGCACUUGGAAAUGAAAGAGCAGUUGACUUAUGAGCUAUAGUUUUUCUGAGAAGAUGACUUUUCACAGAUCUGUGUCCAGUUAUGGGAAAUGCUCUGUAUCUUACUAAAAAAACCCAAAUGAAAUGAAGAAGGACCAAAACAGCAGUUCUAAUGAUAUAAUCAAACCUCUGCAAAAGCUCAUCGAUUUGGGAAAGCAAAACUGAGCAAGCAGGUAGCAAGAACAUAGUGGACUACUUCACCUCACUCAUACCUGUAACCAUGGCCUUUAGUGUAUUGGCAAACACUUGUUUGGUGCAUCAGAGAAACCUGUACAAGUCUUGUUCCUUAGGGCUGGACAUAUGCAGGAAGGGUGGAUUAAUUUGUGGAAAAAAGACCAAGACUGUAUGAAAAGGAUAAGCAAGUGACUGACUUUCUUUACUUUAUUACCCUCACUUUGUAUUUUGGUAAUGCUUUGAGACCACAGUUGGGGAUUGCAACCCUGCUUUGCUAAGUGUGCACUGAUAGGUGACAAUCCAUCAGUGUCUUCUCCAGAAGAGUUUCCCAGUUGCAUCACUGUGGGUUAAUGGAGGGUGAUGCCAGACUGUGUGGAGCCAGCUGAAGGAAGCACAUGCAAUGGUAUUUGGUGUUUCUUUGCAAAGAACAAACAAGUGGCUUUAUUUAUCCGCCUUCAGCCAUGGGAGGGUGGGAGCCAUCUUCACUAGGGAACAGACAAGCUUGUUGCUAACCUGUUUUACUCUGUUUAGAUGGUUUUGUGUAAGUGCCAGUUUAUGCAUUGGCCAAAGAUUCGGCCACAUCCUGUUGCAGAAAAGCUCUCAAAAACUGAACAGUUGUGGGGGAGGUGAAAAGUGCAACCAGUUUCACCCGUGACCAUUUCUAGAUGCCUGAGUAGGAAAAAGAACUCUCUUUGCUUCUCCUGUUGCUGACCACCAAAUACCCCUAGUCCAUCUCCCUUUUGCUGUGGUGAGGGCUGUGCUCUCACUAUCCAGGAACUGCUGAGGAAAGGAGCAGAGGGAGAUGACAGUCAUCUAUGGGAAGGGAGGGUACUAACAAAAAAAAAAAAGGAAAUAACAAACACAAAGGGGAUAUGUAAGGCAACCAUUACAGGGCAUCCAGGAGGAGCAGCCUUGCUCUAGGCUGUGUUGUUUCCCUCUCUGUCUGAGUGGGGAUGUACAGGGCAGGGUGAGGUGGUAGGAAUGCCCUGGAGGCAGCAGGGAGAAUGGGAGAGGGAAUCCAGAGCUUGGACUUGCAAAAUACCAGAGGGAACAAUGCAGGCUGUGUUGGAGCUGAGUAUUUUUGUUGCACUGAUAAGAGCUGCCCUGGGCUGAAUGACAUCAAGCAAGAGAGUCCCACCCAGAUGAGAUGAUCGAAGGAGGGACUGCAAGGGCAGGCAGCACUGACACGGUGUGACAACAUAUUCUCCUGGACUCUUUUGGGAGUGAGAAAAUACAAAAGCCAUUAUAUAAUGACCUACUUGGAACAAGGACAUUUGUGGGAUUUGAAACAAAGUGCUGUGCUUGUGCAACAGAUGUCUUUGGGCCCAAACAGAAAUGUUUGCAUCCUCAGCCCAGGAACAUUGGUCCCAGAGCAAAGGAAAGGAUGCAGCUUCCCCCUCCAGACUGGAAUUAGACCAUAUUGAUAUCGUUAGAAAGGCGCUCAUCUUAUUAAAUGUGACUUUUCCUCAAAAAUACAGCAUGCUAUGGAAAGGAAGGGCCCAUUUCUCCCUCCUCUCCACCACCCCUUCCCCAUGGGGAGAGGAAGAAAGCAAUAGAGAGUGUUCUCUCUAAUGUCCCUGAGGACUUUUGGCUGGGUUAAUGAAGAAGGGGGACUCUCCAAGGACACAAAGUAAGAAAUGAAAAAUGAAGAAAAUUACUCCCACCGUGCAACACCACUGCACAGUCCUCAGGAAACAGCUCUGGCAUCUUCCCUGGCCUGUACCAGAGUACUUCCCAUGCACUUUUCAGAGGAAGCAACUCACAGAAAUCCCCUUUUAAGAGAUCACAGACUUAUUUCCCACCAGGCAUCAAAAUAAUCACCACACCAAAUCUGAAAUCUGAGCCACCAUUUGUUAAUUGUUAGAGCCAGCCAAAUUUGACAAAAUAACAGCCGUGUUCUGGGUUAAUGCUGGUUUAUCCCAGGGUACAGUUAUUGCUUCAUAAACAGGAAGCGCUCAAGUUACAGUCAAAUGAGAUUUAUUUUCCUGCUUUAUCUAUUGAGUCCAUCAUUUUAUUAGCUUUCUACUUUUAAAUUUUGUAUAAUUCAUUUCCUCCUGCCUUUUAACCCUUUUAGAUGUCAAUAAGGUAUCCAUUCUCCCAACAGAAGAAAAAAUCUCAGACAUAUAACCAAAGCCAGGGUGGAUGUAGUGUGACACCAGAGGGCAUUAUUUAAGAAGGGACUUUUAAAAAUCAUUCCAGAGCAAAGUUACCAAUUUACCUAACAAGAGACAAAUCUGUUUUCUAAAAUGGCAGGUUGGACAAUACACGAAAUUGAUAAAAGAAGUUGGAAAGAAACCAACAGGAAGCCAUUUUUCCCCCUCUCUCCCUUUUAUUUUGCAACCUUCUUAGGAUCAAUGCUAUAUCCCAUUAACUGCAUAGAGGAGUGCAAACAGUGAGUACAAACACAGCCCCUGCCCUGGCAGCCUGUUUGCUUAGCUGUGCUGGCUGUUUGAGCAGCAAUAGACUCAUUCUGAAGCCGUAAGUUGCUGUUUGCUGUAGUGUUUUAGUGACCUGUUAAGAAGGGUUUGGGCCAGUGUGUUGACAAAUGCCUUUUCUGAGUAAGAAAGCUCCCUGGGAUAAUUUCUCCUUCCCUUCUGACUCUCUUCUCUAACACAGGCACCAGUGAUGCCCUAGCAUGCUCCCUGUUGAAAAGGGGAGUCUGGCUGGAUUGCUGGGGACAUGCUUACACAGAUGUGACUAUCCCUUUGCCCUGUGGUGGCAUCUCAGAGGCUGAUACUGCAUGACCUGCAUCUGGUACCUGUUUGCGUCCUCAGCCUGCCCAAUAAGCACUGACCUUUCUGGCCUUGGCUGGAGAGCAGUCCAGGGGGCAGGUCUGGAGGAAACAUUCUGCCCCAACCCUGCUGCAGACCUUUUUUUGAGGCCUUUUUGCAAAGCAGGAUUUUGGAUGGGUUCUGGCAGUGUUAAAACCCCAGUGUAACAACUUCCUGGGCAGUCUGAGCCACACCUGAGAUCUGUGUGAGCAUGGGUUCCCUCAGGGUGGGAUCUAUCUGGGUAGAAACUUCUGCUUCCUCUGUCUCAUAGUUCCCUAAUCUGCUGCCUCCUGUACAUCCCAGAUGUUCCUGGAUGCCAGGGUCCCACAGCUGUGGCACUCCUCCCUCAUCUUUAGCCUGAGCACUGCAAGGUAUUGCUCCACAGUCCCCUUUUGCUUUCAUUAUGUGGCCACAUGAAAAAAUAAUCAGGUUAGCCAAAGUGCCAUAAUUAUCUUAAUCUGCUAGGGCUGCCCUAGCCUUGCCUUUCUUGAGCAUCACCCAGUCUGAACUCUGCCUUCGAGGUUAACUCUGCCCUACAGACUACACACACAUCACUUCAGAGAUAACUUGCAGAAGCACUUUGUGUGUCCAAAAUGAGGUUAGAGCCAGGUUUGGCUGGAAGGUGGGUGUCCAACGCUGAGCCAGGGCUGGGCUUGGCAAUGUGGUGUCUAACUGAGGCUUGUGAAAAUGCAUGGUCUGAGUGUUUUCCUCCAGAGGAAGUGGUGCGGCCACACAAAGCUUGAGAUUUUUUGUCUAUCUUGACCUGCUCUCAGCCUUUCUGUAGAGACCUUACCAUCUUGGGAUAGUGGAUCUUCAGGAACAGAUCUGUGCAGACCGUUUCCUGAAUAUCUCCUUUUCUGUACCCCAAAUUAUACUCCUCUUCUCAGAAAAUACCCAAUCCAACUGACGCACAAUCAAUUUAGGCCUAAUUUUGACCCACCCCAAAAUAGUAAAGUCACACUGGGGUCUGCAUUUCCUCAUUAUCCUCACACUGAAGUUCCCCAGAUGCUGUCUUUAAUUCAUUGAAUGUUCCUAAAACAGAGCCCAGGUCCUGGCUGCUUUGAUCCUUGGUGCCCUGGGUCAGUCACCGUUUCCUGUGUCCAGCAAAAGAUUUCAGACUGAUGUGCAAGAAAUGUGGAUGUUUUUGCUAUUUUCAUGAUAUUUGGAACAUCCUCACUCAUGAGUCAGUGGGAAUUCAGUGAUUGGGCUGCUCUGUUGUGCAUGAAUGUUACAUGUCAAGUCAUUAUUUGUCUUCUCUAAAAGAAAAUAUUUGUUCCUUGACAAACUGAGGCAGCCCUUUCCCCUUCCUUUCCUCUUUAGCACACUGGAUUUUCAAAGCUCUCACUUUUGGAACAUUCUAUUUCCAGUCCCGAGAGAGACAAGGUGACGAGCUGUCCUUCCUGAUAAAAACCUUGCAGUAUUUUUACAUUACAGAGUGGCUCUGUUUGGUUUGUGCUAUAUUUAUACCAGGGAAAAAAAAGAAGCAGAGAAGUCUUUCCCAUCCAGUAAGGGAGAAAAUAACUCUGACCAUAUUAUUAUGAACAACAAGUUUUUCUUCUACAAUGUAAUAAAUUCAUCUAAGCCAGGAUUUGUACUGGGAAGGUGUUUUCAUAAUUAUGGGGCAGGAGGGGACAGGAGGUGACUCUUAAACGGACCUAAUUCGAGAGGUCUAAAAAUAAAGUAGGAGUAGCAAAAAAAAAAAAAAAUUGACAUAAAUAUAUGCAAAGUCACGUGAACAGAUACUGGUUUUACUCUCUUUGUAGAUAUAGCAGUUGUUUCCUUCUCAUGAUCUGAUCAGGAAGAGGUGAAGAGGCUCUUUGAGUGAAUUUGCAGUACUGGGCUCUGUUCCUAGGGCACUUUAGGGUCAUGUUAGCACACAAAUGGCAAAUACUAACACACUCAGAGCUUUAUUCUUUUCCAUGGGCUCUGGCAUUAUGAGAUCCGGAGUCAGGAAGAAGUGUUAUUCCUUUCUCACUGCAGUGCUCUCCCUGUUCAACAGAGACCCCCAAUCACUUCUGGGGUAGGUAGGCUCAAACUGCACAAUGCUUAAAAAUGCGUUGACCUCUAAGGAACUGCUGGGUAGAAAACAGUUCUGUUCUGCACAAGGAAAGACAUCUCCUCUCAGUGUCCAUCCACGGUUUCCCUGGAAGAGUCCUUGAGUACUGUUGAGCCUGUAAGUCUGGGCAGCUUAAGUACAACAUGAGAAAGGUCCUUCUCUGCUGACUCCAUUGUAAACAGUUGUCUAUGCAGUAUUUCUACAGAUAUUUUAUUUGUAUCGAUACUACACAGGGCCAGCAGCACAGAGAGCACUUGUUAUGAUCUUCCAGUGCCACCGAAAUAUGAAGUGACUCCAAAUUUUGGAAGGAGGAUAACGAUGAUCAUGGGAGGGGCUGGAGGGGCAUGUGUUCUGUUUUUAGAUUAGAAGAUUGUCUGUUCCUGGGUGAAGGCUAUUACUGGUGUCUCUGUUCAAGUCAAUAGAGGGGCUGUUGUUUGUGCAUUUCUCAAUGGAAAUUUCAAAAGAUGCCUUUUACUGCAAAUUUGUUUUCUCCAUCUCCAUGUGCACCUCACACGCACACAUCAUUUGGCAAGAGCCCUUCUUUCACCAGUGGUAUACUGCCACCCCUUUUGGUUCUGACCUUGAAUAAUAGCUGUUCCUCUCCCAAGCUAAAGACAGUUGUGAUGACCCAUGCUUAAGGGGAAGGCAGUCAAUAGAGCCUAUUUUGUACAAGUCCUAAUGUGGUUAUUUUUCAUUUUAGCUUUGAGGAUUCUUUGUUCAGCCCUCUGAUUAAAAAAUGUGGUGAGUGAAUUUUGUGAAAAUUCUGUCAAAAAACCAAUAUGUGAAAAUGAAAGUUAUUAUAAUUAUGCUCCUUCUAGCAAUUAUUGCAAAAAAUUAAACACUCAGCACUUGCACUGCCAAGAACCUGAUGAACAUGAGUUAGCAGUAAGUAUCAGGUAAUCGUUAUAAUUCCUCUGGUCUGUAACACAGAGAAACUGAAGACAACUGUGAAAUGACACAAAUCUCCCUGCAAGCAGAUGGUGGAGCUCUUCAGGAAAGAGGCAUUUCUGCAUCCAGACUUUUUCUGGCUCCUGGUCACUGCCUCAGACAAAUAAAGAAUAGCGGUGCCUGGACUUCCCAUCUUUGCUCAUUCUUUUAAGUGUUGGUGCCUCCCAUUACAUGUGAUUUUAUCAUUAAUAGCAAAAAAAAAAAUGUAAGUACUUCCUUGAAAAUUUCUGUUGUUAAUAACAUUGUAACCCGAAUGCUCACAUCCUUUGAAGCACCAAUUACAGGUACAAAUACAUGGCUUGCUAUCUUGGCAUCA